CUCACCAACUUUCCAAUUUUGGAUUUCAGUUUUAGUACUCUAAUGCCAGUUUGUAUUUGUAUUCUCUCAAUCUGGAGCAGCCAGGUUAUGAUAUAUAACUAAAGACCAGUGUGCCAAGUGAUCAAUGGUUAAGGAGUUGCAUGAAGCUGUAAAUGUGACCUGGUCACCUCUAGUCCAGCAGCUCACCAACUUUCCAAUUUUGCUUGGAUGCAGGAACAGCUGCUCAGCAGUUGGAUGUCAGUUUUAGUCCUGUAAUGUCAGUUUGGAUUUGUAUUCUCUCAAUCAAUACCAGUGUGCCAAGUUAUCAAAGAUUGUCAUACGAUUAUUGUGGGAGCUGGUGGAACGAAUCCAGAUGGCAUUAUUGUGAGUUGCUGUAAUUAUGGAAAAAUGAAGAUUUACUCUGCUGACAAGAUGUUUGAGAACGACAGCAACUAUUUGAUUAGCGGUUCCGACAAACACGAAGGUCCUGUGAGAGCUCUGGACUUUCAUCCAUUUCAGUCUCACAGCGUU